GGGAAGGUUACGGGAAUGUGUUUUAAGCAUAUUACAGUUACGGGAAAUUACGGGAAUGUGUUUUAAGCAUAUUACAGUUACUGGAAAAUUACGGGAAUAUGUUUUAGGCUUGUUUCAAGCCUACAGCACCAGUUACGGGAAAAUAACGGGAAUGUGUUUUAUGCUUGUUUCAAGCCUACACCAGUUACGGGAAAAUUACGGGAAUGUGUUUUAUGCUUGUUUACCAGUUACGGGAAAAUUACGGGAGAAACUGUGGAGAAAGGACAACAGUAUCGUCUCACACUACGAGGAUUAGCCCGUCGGUGUGUAAAAGAAGGACUCAUCGGUUAUUCGGCAGCAACAUCAUCAUUUUCUGUAAAUCAUCCCAUGACCAAGCAAGUCCACAGUGUUAAGUUGUUUCCUUUGCCAUCGCGAUGCUCCUGUAGCAGCACGGGAAGAUGCUUUCACUUAAUUGCAGUACAAAUGUCUUUGCAGUUGCCAGAAAGUCAAACUCGAGACACUUCAACAUAUUCUUUACCACAGAUG